GACGAACGCUGGCGGCGUGCUUAACACAUGCAAGUCGAGCGAUGAAGUUCCUUCGGGAGUGGAUUAGCGGCGGACGGGUGAGUAACACGUGGGGAACCUGCCUCAUAGAGGGGAUUAGCCUUUCGAAAGGAAGAUUAAUACCGCAUAAGAUUGUAGCUUCGCAUGAAGCAGCAAUUAAAGGGGUAAUCCGCUAUGAGAUGGACCCGCGUCGCAUUAGCUAGUUGGUGAGGUAACGGCUCACCAAGGCGACGAUGCGUAGCCGACCUGGGAGGGUGAUCGGCCACAUUGGGACUGAGACACGGCCCAGACUCCUACGGGAGGCAGCAGUGGGGAAUAUUGCACAAUGGGGGAAACCCUGAUGCAGCAACGCCGCGUGAGUGAUGACGGUCUUCGGAUUGUAAAACUCUGUCUUCAGGGACGAUAAUGACGGUACCUGAGGAGGAAGCCACGGCUAACUACGUGCCAGCCGCCGCGGUAAGAC
rnacentral:rRNA from 1 species